UACGAAGGGGGCUAGCGUUGUUCGGAAUCACUGGGCGUAAAGCGCGCGUAGGCGGCUAUACAAGCCAGGGGUGAAAUCCCAGAGCUCAACUCUGGAACUGCCUUUGGAACUGUAUAGCUGGAGUCUCGGAGGGGAUGGCGGAAUUCCUAGUGUAGGGGUGAAAUCCGUAGAUACUAGGAGGAACACCGGAGGCGAAGGCGGCCAUCUGGACGAGUACUGACGCUGAGGCGCGAAAGCAUGGGGAGCAAACAGG
rnacentral:misc_RNA from 1 species